rnacentral:rRNA from 1 species
UACGGGGGGGGCAAGCGUUGUUCGGAAUUACUGGGCGUAAAGGGCGCGUAGGCGGCCUUCUAAGUCGGACGUGAAAUCCCUCGGCUUAACCGGGGAACUGCGUCUGAUACUGGAUGGCUUGAGUUUGGGAGAGGGAUGCGGAAUUCCAGGUGUAGCGGUGAAAUGCGUAGAUAUCCUGAGGAACACCGGUGGCGAAAGCGGCGCGCUGGACCUCUUCUGACGCUGAGGCGCGAAAGCCAGGGGAGCGAACGGG